CCUUAUGUUGCUCCUCAUUUUCUGUAUAAUGCAAAAGUAAAUGUUUGGCAGAAUGACUUCAUUUUAUAAACUUUGGUUGUCAGCACAAUUUUUUUUUAAAACAUCAACAGUGUAACAUAUCUUAAAUUUGAACAAAAAUGACUGCACGAGCCAAAAAAUUUACUUCAAAGACUUUUCUCCCACAUUCAGUGAAAGUGGAGCUGUCAGGGCUCUGUGUGAAGCACACCUUCAAAAUCUCAGGAAUGUUGGCCACACCCCCUAUAUCACUGACUGGUUCAAAGUUUUAACGACACGCCCCCGUGUCCUCCGCCCUGCCCAGAAACGCACUCCAGUCACUCCUAAUCACUGUCAACCAUCAACGGCCGUGAUUGAGAGCGUCCUGCGACUACAAACAAUUGUCUCUUUUUCCUUUCAUGAGAAGUUUGGAGUUGUUGUCAAACUUGGACCUUAUAAACCAACACUGGAUUUACAUUUGAAGAAAAACAAGUUAUUUUCAUGUCAGAGUAAAGUGGAGUACUUAUCAAAUCUUUACAAGGAAAUACUAAACGUCGCAAGGAAUCGCAAUAAUGUUUCUUUAUGAACUUGUCUCACACGUCAGCAUAUGUUUCGCAUAUUUAUAAACUUAAGCAUGUAACCUCUUGUUGCAUUUAGUAAGAAGAACAUGCCUCUGUUCCUUAGUAAAAGCGUCCAGAUUUCCUAAAGACUCAGGAUUUGCGUUUCUCCUCUAGUCCAGUUAAGUUCUUCAACUGGUUUUGACUCAAAACUGAGUCUCACCUCAGUUAUAUCAGCCGCCCACAAGAGCUGGUCGACUUCAGUCAUGAAUGUGCCAAGGUGCUCUGGAGUUUGCGCUAUGAUGAGACUUCUGGCUCUGUUUAUACACGUUAUGUCAACGACAGCAAAGAGACACGUUGUAUACUGGAACUCUACAAAUACACGGUGUGAUCUCGGUCUUGAUUGGCUGUUUAAUUUAGGACAGCCUGGAGGCCCAGCUGUGCUCCACCCCUCUUUGAACGCCUCAGACACGGGAAGCCAUCCAUAUGGACUUGUUUCGACAACAGGCCUCAUAUAGUGACAUGCAAAUCAUUAAAAUGCUUGAAACUAGUUGUUUUGUCAUAGCUCAUUAAUUUCUCAUCAGAGAAAGAUGGCUUUUUAAGGUUUUACAAAUUCUUGUUUGGCUUUCAGUAUAUUAUUUAUAUGACAGAGAUGAGAGAUUAAUUUGCUCUUAGCUUGUGGGCUCACUGAUUUUUUUUAUUUUAUUUUUUUAUUUUUUGCAAGCUAACACAUACACAAAUCUACACCUCAUUCAGUGUAGUCAUGUUUAGUCUUGUUAUGCAGUGAUGUGGUUUAUUAACAGAUUUAGAAAAAGGCAUCAGCAGACUAAACGUCAACUCCUUUGCUUCACAGUUCUCCAGUGCUGCAAACAAUGAACACGUUGCACAGACAUUGAUUUGCUGUUCACACCAAAUAGUGUAAUAUAACCAGAUUAAUGAGGCUCGGUUUUUGGAGACAUGAGUGCUGCAAAGUAGUCAUGUUUAGCUUGCAGGGUUUCAUCACAUCAGUACUUUGGAAAGAGUGGGAGAAAGACUUUUAAGUUUCUGUCUAACUGUGUGUUUGGUGUGUAUGUGUGAUAUUUGUGUGGUAUUUUUUUUUUGUAACUUAUUUUAAAAAGUUAAACUUUCAUAUAUUCUAGAUUCAUUACAUGUAAAGUAAAACAUUUCAAAAGUUUUUUAGUUUUAAUUUUGAUGAUUAGAGCUUACAGCUCAUGAAAGUCAAAAAUCCAGUAUCUCAAAAUAUUAGAAUAUUUACAUUUGAGUUUCAUUAAAUGACCGUCCGCUCGGUUUUUGGAGACAUGAGUGCUGCAAAGUAGUCAUGUUUAGCUUGCAGGGUUUCAUCACAUCAGUACUUUGGAAAGAGUGGGAGAAAGACUUUUAAGUUUCUGUCUAACUGUGUGUUUGGUGUGUAUGUGUGAUAUUUGUGUGGUUAUUUUUUUUUGUAACUUAUUUUAAAAAGUUAAACUUUCAUAUAUUCUAGAUUCAUUACAUGUAAAGUAAAACAUUUCAAAAGUUUUUUAGUUUUAAUUUUGAUGAUUAGAGCUUACAGCUCAUGAAAGUCAAAAAUCCAGUAUCUCAAAAUAUUAGAAUAUUUACAUUUGAGUUUCAUUAAAUGACCGUCCCUACAGUAUACAUUCCAGGUAUCUCUUGUUCUUUGAAACCACAAUAAUGGGGAAGACUGUUGACUUGGCAAUGGUCCAGAAGACGAUCAUUGACACCCUCCACAAAGAGGGCAAGUCACAGAAGCUCAUUACUGAAAGGGGUGGCUGUUCACAGAGUGCUGUAUCAAAGCAUAUUAAAUGCAAAGUUGACUGGAAAGAAGAAAUUGGGUAGGAAAAGGUGCACAAGCAACAAGGAUGACCGCAAGCUUGAGAAUACUGUCAAACAAAGCUGAUUCAAACACUUGGGAGAGCUUCACAAGAAGUGGACUGAAGCUGGAGUCAGUGCAUCAAGAAUCACCAUGCUUGAAUGUCUUCAGGAAAAGGGCUACAAAGCCACUUCUGAAACAGAAACAACGCCAGAAGCAUCUUACCUGGGCUAAGGAGAAAAAAACUUGACUGAACUAGUCCCCUUUUCAGAUGAAAGUAAAUUUUGCAUUUCAUUUGGAAAUCAAGGUCUGGAGUCUGGAGGAAAACUGGAGAGGCACAGAAUCCAAGCGGCUUGAAGUCCAGUGUGAGGUUUCUGAAAUCAUUGAUGAUUUGGGGUUCCGUGACAUCUGCUGGUGCUGGUCCAUUGUGUUUUACGGAAAGUCGUGGCCUAAUGGUUAGAGAGUCGGACUCGUAACCCAAGGGUUGCGAGUUUGAGUCUCGUACCGGCAGGGAUUGUAGGUGGGGGGAGUGAAUGUACAGCACUCUCUCCCACCUUCAGUACCACGACUGAGGUGCCCUUGAGCAAGGCACCGAACCCCCAACUGCUCCCUGGCGCUGCAGCAAAAUAUGGCUGCCCACUGCUUCGGGUUUGUGUUCACCACUGUGUGUGUGCACUUUGGAUGAGAUAAAUGCUGAGCACUAAUUCUGAGUAUGGGUCACCAUACCAUGUCAUGUCACUUUCACUUUAUCAAGUUCAAAGUCAAUGCAGCUGUCUACCAGGAGAUUUUUGAGCACUUUAUGCUUCCAUCUGCUGACAAGCUUUAUGGAGAUGCUGAUUUCCUUUUCCAGCAGCACCUGCCCACAGUGACAAAACCACUUCCAAAAAAGGUUUGCUGACCAUGAUAUUACUGUGCUUGAUUGGCCAGCCAACAUGCCUGACCUGAACCCCAUAUGUGGUGAUCUAUGGGAUAUUUUCAAGAGAAAGAUGAGAAACUUUUGAUCCAACAAUAUAGAUGAGCUGAAGGGUCAAUAGUGCCUCAGCAGUGCCAUAAGCUGAUGCUGUCAUUUGUGCUUAAGGAGCCCCGACCAUUGAGAGUGCAUAAAUGAACAUACUUUAGAGAACUUGAGCUUUUCUGUUUUGCAAAUCCUUUAUUUAUUUUUUUAUUUUUUUUAUUUUUGUAUUGAUCUUAGGAAAUAUUCUAAUACUUUGAGAUACUGAAUUUUUGACUUUCAUGAGUUGUAAGCUCUAAUCAUAUUACUUUAGAGUAACUUGAGUCUUUUCUUGUUUUGACUAAAUUCCUUUUAUUUAUUUUUUAUUUUUUUUAUUUUUUGAUUGAUCUUAGGAAAUAUUCUAAUACUUUGAGAUACUGAAUUUUUGACUUUCAUGAGUUGUAAGCUCUAAUCAUCAAAAUUAAAACAAAAACACUUUUGAGUAUGUUUUACUUUACAUGUAAUGAAUCAGGAAUCAAUCACUAUAUAUAUAUAUAUAAAUAAUUUCUCCUCCUUAAUCUCCACUCCUGCCUUUCAGUUGUAACUGAGCUGUGAACUGCUGUGAGAAACUUGUUGCUUUUCGUUUAUCAGCUGACGUUUUAGAUGGCCUGCCAGGUGGAUAAAGCUUAUAACGCGUGCUUUGCUCUUAUCUGUCAUGCUCUCUCAGCUCACCCCUUUAUUUCCUCAUGUUUUCUUACAACCUUACCUAAAAGUUUUGAAACCUGAUGCAACGGCUGAGUGUGAACAUACAGUGAAGAUUUCUGACUUAACUUACACAGUCAGAGCUUCUACUUUUUUUCCUCAUAAAAAUGAAACUUCACACACGUUCAAUUCCAAACCUGUAAGACUUUUCUUCUGUGGAACACAAAAAGAGAUAUUCUGAAGACAAUGCUAAAAAUGACUAAACUGAAUAGAAAUAUAAAAAUAGCAAAACAUAACAUAAUUACUAAAACUUAACUUACUAAAAAAUACAAAAUAUAAAAAUAAAAGCUAAUUCCAAGUAUUAAGAAUUAAAAAAGUGUGAUAAUAUACACUGAACAAAACCGCAGACCACGUGUAACCACACCAGCCCAGGACCUCCACAUCCAGCAUCUUCACCUCCAAGAUCGUCUGAGACCAGCCACCUGGACAGCUGCUAGAACAAUCGGUUUGCAUAACCAAAGAAUUUCUGCACAAACUGUCAGAAACCGUCUCAGGGAAGCUCAUCUGCAUGCUCGUCUCGACCUGACUGCAGUUCGUCGUCAUAACCGACUUGAGUGGGCAAAUUCUCACAUUCGAUGGUGUCUAGCACUUUGGAGAGGUGUUCUCUUCACGGAUGAAUCCCGGUUUUCACUGUACAGGGCAGAUGGCAGACAGCGUGUAUGGCGUCGUGUGGGUGAGCAGUUUUCUGAUGUCAACGUUGUGGAUUGAGUGGCCUUU
rnacentral:lncRNA from 1 species